rnacentral:rRNA from 1 species
AUAUUGGUCAAUGGGCGGGAGCCUGAACCAGCCAAGUCGCGUGAGGGAAGACGGUCCUACGGAUUGUAAACCUCUUUUGCCGGGGAGCAACGGGGUCCUUGCGAGGGCCCAAUGAGAGUACCCGGAGAAAAAGCAUCGGCUAACUCCGUGCCAGCAGCCGCGGUAAUACGGAGGAUCCAAGCGUUAUCCGGAUUUAUUGGGUUUAAAGGGUGCGUAGGCGGCAGAUUAAGUUAGAGGUGAAAUUCCGAGGCUCAACCUUGGCACUGCCUCUGAUACUGGUUUGCUAGCGAGUAGAUGCUGUAGGCGGAAUGUGUGGUGUAGCGGUGAAAUGCAUAGAGAUCACACAGAACACCGAUUGCGAAGGCAGCUUACAAAUCUAUAUCGGACGCUGAGGCACGAAAGCGUGGGGAGCAAACAG